GAUGAACGCUGGCGGCGUGCCUAAUACAUGCAAGUCGAGCGAACAGACGAGGAGCUUGCUCCUCUGACGUUAGCGGCGGACGGGUGAGUAACACGUGGAUAACCUACCUAUAAGACUGGGAUAACUUCGGGAAACCGGAGCUAAUACCGGAUAACAUGUUGAACCGCAUGGUUCAACAGUGAAAGACGGUCUUGCUGUCACUUAUAGAUGGAUCCGCGCCGCAUUAUCUAGUUGGUAAGGUAACGGCUUACCAAGGCAACGAUGCGUAGCCGACCUGAGAGGGUGAUCGGCCACACUGGAACUGAGACACGGUCCAGACUCCUACGGGAGGCAGCAGUAGGGAAUCUUCCGCAAUGGGCGAAAGCCUGACGGAGCAACGCCGCGUGAGUGAAGAAGGUCUUCGGAUCGUAAAACUCUGUUAUUAGGGAAGAGCAAAUGUGUAAGUAACUAUGCACGUCUUGACGGUACCUAAUCAGAAAGCCACGGCUAACUACGUG
rnacentral:rRNA from 1 species